GAUGAACGCUGGCGGCGUGCCUAAUACAUGCAAGUCGAGCGAACGGACGAGAAGCUUGCUUCUCUGAUGUUAGCGGCGGACGGGUGAGUAACACGUGGAUAACCUACCUAUAAGACUGGGAUAACUUCGGGAAACCGGAGCUAAUACCGGAUAAUAUUUUGAACCGCAUGGUUCAAAAGUGAAAGACGGUCUUGCUGUCACUUAUAGAUGGAUCCGCGCUGCAUUAGCUAGUUGGUAAGGUAACGGCUUACCAAGGCAACGAUGCAUAGCCGACCUGAGAGGGUGAUCGGCCACACUGGAACUGAGACACGGUCCAGACUCCUACGGGAGGCAGCAGUAGGGAAUCUUCCGCAAUGGGCGAAAGCCUGACGGAGCAACGCCGCGUGAGUGAUGAAGGUCUUCGGAUCGUAAAACUCUGUUAUUAGGGAAGAACAUAUGUGUAAGUAACUGUGCACAUCUUGACGGUACCUAAUCAGAAAGCCACGGCUAACUACGUGCCAGCAGCCGCGGUAAUACGUAGGUGGCAAGCGUUAUCCGGAAUUAUUGGGCGUAAAGCGCGCGUAGGCGGUUUUUUAAGUCUGAUGUGAAAGCCCACGGCUCAACCGUGGAGGGUCAUUGGAAACUGGAAAGCUUGAGUGCAGAAGAGGAAAGUGGAAUUCCAUGUGUAGCGGUGAAAUGCGCAGAGAUAUGGAGGAACACCAGUGGCGAAGGCGACUUUCUGGUCUGUAACUGACGCUGAUGUGCGAAAGCGUGGGGAUCAAACAGGAUUAGAUACCCUGGUAGUCCACGCCGUAAACGAUGAGUGCUAAGUGUUAGGGGGUUUCCGCCCCUUAGUGCUGCAGCUAACGCAUUAAGCACUCCGCCUGGGGAGUACGACCGCAAGGUUGAAACUCAAAGGAAUUGACGGGGACCCGCACAAGCGGUGGAGCAUGUGGUUUAAUUCGAAGCAACGCGAAGAACCUUACCAAAUCUUGACAUCCUUUGACAACUCUAGAGAUAGAGCCUUCCCCUUCGGGGGACAAAGUGACAGGUGGUGCAUGGUUGUCGUCAGCUCGUGUCGUGAGAUGUUGGGUUAAGUCCCGCAACGAGCGCAACCCUUAAGCUUAGUUGCCAUCAUUAAGUUGGGCACUCUAAGUUGACUGCCGGUGACAAACCGGAGGAAGGUGGGGAUGACGUCAAAUCAUCAUGCCCCUUAUGAUUUGGGCUACACACGUGCUACAAUGGACAAUACAAAGGGCAGCGAAACCGCGAGGUCAAGCAAAUCCCAUAAAGUUGUUCUCAGUUCGGAUUGUAGUCUGCAACUCGACUACAUGAAGCUGGAAUCGCUAGUAAUCGUAGAUCAGCAUGCUACGGUGAAUACGUUCCCGGGUCU
rnacentral:rRNA from 1 species